GCUGGGUGUGGUGGUGCCCACCUGUAAUCCCAGGAACUAGGGUGGCUGAGGCGGGAGGAUCCCAAGUUCAAGACCAGCCUCAGCAACUUAAGGAGACCCUGCCCU
rnacentral:sRNA from 1 species